rnacentral:rRNA from 1 species
CCUACGGGUGGCAGCAGUGGGGAAUAUUGGACAAUGGGGGCAACCCUGAUCCAGCCAUGCCGCGUGUGUGAAGAAGGCCCUCGGGUUGUAAAGCACUUUCAGUGAGGAAGAACGCCUGGUGGUUAAUACCCAUCAGGAAAGACAUCACUCACAGAAGAAGCACCGGCUAACUCCGUGCCAGCAGCCGCGGUAAUACGGAGGGUGCGAGCGUUAAUCGGAAUUACUGGGGGUAAAGCGCGCGUAGGUGGCUUGAUAAGCCGGUUGUGAAAGCCCCGGGCUCAACCUGGGAACGGCAUCCGGAACUGUCAAGCUAGAGUGCAGGAGAGGAAGGUAGAAUUCCCGGUGUAGCGGUGAAAUGCGUAGAGAUCGGGAGGAAUACCAGUGGCGAAGGCGGCCUUCUGGACUGACACUGACACUGAGGUGCGAAAGCGUGGGUAGCAAACAGGAUUAGAUACCCUAGUAGUC